GCCAUUUGGAGCAGAGCCAAGACACUGACCAGGUUUUCAAGAUUUUCGUCAGUUUUCUGGUUGAACAGUCCAGAGGCAUCGAAAGGUAGGUUCUCUACCCUCAUCUUGAUCCCUUCCAUAAUGCUGGCAGAACAUAACCAUGCAUGCCUUCUGAGAGUUAUAAGAGAAGCUAGAUUUUUAGCAGUAGCAUCUGCUAUAUGACGGGAUGCCAAGCAUAAAUGCUUGGAUACAGUUAAAGCCUCAGCGUGUGUGUUAAGACAGAGUUGUUUGAUGUCAUCCGGAGCCACCUGUAAUGCAGGUAGGAUUCUGGUCCAAAGUUGUUUCUGAUAAGCUCCC